UGUGUGGUGAGUUCCCUGUAGAUAUAAGAUGCUAUAAAUGUUCUAUUUCCUAUGUGACGUCUCAGUGAUCUGCACCUGACACUGCUCCUACUGUCAGUAUGGGGAGAUACUUACUGCUUGUCCUCUCCGCUCUCUUCUCUCACUGUCUUACAGGUUCCUAUGGGCAGAUUGUACUGACUCAGUCUCCAGAUUAUGUCUCUGUGUCACCAGGAGAAACUGUCACCAUCACAUGUAAAGCCAGUAGCAGUGUUAGCGACUUGUUAGCCUGGUACCAACAGAAAUCAGGGCAGGCACCAAAGCUGUUGAUCUAUAGGGCAAGCACCCGACACACAGGGACCCCAGAGCGGAUCAGUGGCAGUGGGUCUGGAACUGAUUUCACUCUUACAAUCAGCAGAAUGGAAGCAGCAGAUGCAGCAGAUUAUUACUGUCAGCAGGAUUACAAUUUCCCUCUCACACAGUGAUACAGAGCUGAACAAAAACCUCCCUGUUACUGUGCCAGUGAGUUAUUUACAUGAUACUCUAUAAAGCUACAGAGCAUGACAUGAUAUUCUCAGUA